AAUGAACGUUGGCGGCGUGGAUUAGGCAUGCAAGUCGCGCGAUUUCCUUCGGGGAAGAGCGGCGGAAGGGAGAGUAACGCGUAGAUACCUACCCUCGGGACCGGAAUAGCGACGGGAAACUGUCGGUAAUGCCGGAUAACGUCCCUGGACCAAAGGUGUGAAUCCGCCUGAGGAGGGGUCUGCGUCCUAUUAGCUAGUCGGCGGGGUAACGGCCCACCGAGGCGAAGAUGGGUACCGGGCGUGAGAGCGUGACCCGGCUCACUGGGACUGAGACACUGCCCAGACACCUACGGGUGGCUGCAGUCGAGAAUCUUCGGCAAUGAGCGCAAGCUUGACCGAGCGACGCCGCGUGCGGGAUGAAGGCUUUCGGGUUGUAAACCGCUGUCAGUGGGGAGGAAAUUCUUGGGGGUACUUCCCCUUGAUUGACCGAUCCGCAGAGGAAGGACGGGCUAAGUUCGUGCCAGCAGCCGCGGUAACAC
rnacentral:rRNA from 1 species